GGAUUAGAUAGCCUGGUAGACACGCCGUAAACGAUGUCGACCAGCCGUUGGGUGCCUAGCGCACUUUGUGGCGAAGUUAACGCGAUAAGUCGACCGCCUGGGGAGUACGGCCGCAAGGUUAAAACUCAAAUGAAUUGACGGGGGCCCGCACAAGCGGUGGAGCAUGUGGUUUAAUUCGAUGCAACGCGAAGAACCUUACCUACUCUUGACAUCCUGCGAACUUGUGAGAGAUCACUUGGUGCCUUCGGGAACGCAGAGACAGGUGCUGCAUGGCUGUCGUCAGCUCGUGUUGUGAAAUGUUGGGUUAAGUCCCGUAACGAGCGCAACCCUUGUCCUUAUUUGCCAGCGCGUAAUGGCGGGAACUCUAAGGAGACUGCCGGUGACAAACCGGAGGAAGGUGGGGACGACGUCAAGUCAUCAUGGCCCUUACGAGUAGGGCUACACACGUGCUACAAUGGCCGGUACAAAGGGUUGCGAGCUCGCGAGAGUCAGCUAAUCCCGAAAAGCCGGUCUCAGUCCGGAUCGGAGUCUGCAACUCGACUCCGUGAAGUCGGAAUCGCUAGUAAUCGUGAAUCAGAAUGUCACGGUGAAUACGUUCCCGGGCCUUGUACACACCGCCCGUCACACCAUGGGAGUGGACUGCACCAGAAGUGGUAGCUUAACCUUCUGGGAAAGCGUCA
rnacentral:rRNA from 1 species